rnacentral:rRNA from 1 species
UACGGGGGGGGCAAGCGUUGUUCGGAAUUACUGGGCGUAAAGGGCCAGUAGGCGGCCAACUAAGUCCGACGUGAAAUCCCCAGGCUUAACCUGGGAACUGCGUCGGAUACUGGAUGGCUUGAAUUCGGGAGAGGGAUGCAGAAUUCCAGGUGUAGCGGUGAAAUGCGUAGAUAUCUGGAGGAAUACCCGUGGCGAAGGCGGCUCUCUGGGACGUGACUGACGCUGAGACGCGAAAGCGUGGGGAGCGAACAGG